GUUUGCUUUAUUUGUUUAUGUCCACAAAUAUUUCCAAAAAAAUUACAAAAUACUCAAAAUGGAGAAAACACAGAAGUCACGAAUUUCUGGGUUUCUACCCCCAUGGCAAACUACUCCUAUAUACAUUAAAAUCUUCAAGAUAUAUAUAGAAAUGGAGCAGUUGGAAUUUACAUUCUGCUAAAUGGCGCCAUGAAACAAGUAGCCUUACAGUUUUUAAACACACUGAACGAGGUACGUCGGAAAUUACAAAAAAGGAAAGAAGAAAAAGUGUGCAGAAAGAACAAAAAUGAAAGUGAAUGCAAACGGUCCACGUAACAUUUUUCCUGCCAGCAGAACCUGCAGAGGUAAAGAUGCAGCCCCUUACUGGCAGAUAAAGUGUUAACUUUCCAAGACAGGGAGGUCUGAAAAAAUAAAAAUAAUUACAGCAGGCCUCUCCAACAAUGAAUACACACAAGUCAGUGUGGAUAAAGUGGCGAAGCACCCCAGCACUCAGAUUUUGAGGUAAACGGGAAUAUUAUAUGUAUAUAUUUAGAAGGAGGCUUGGGAGCUUCAUACACUUAGAUCUGCAGAUAACCUUCAUUUAGUGUUAUACAAAACUAGAAUACUGUAUUGUCAGCUAUCAGGACGGGAUAUUAUAGAAUGAUAUUGGGAAAUAUUGCAGCGACUGUUAAUGGCUCCAAUGAUUUACUAAUGAAGGUGGCUGUGGGUUGUCACACUUCUCUGUGUCAGGGUCUGACUACAUUUCCCAAUCAGUGACUCGCAGAGAGCAUAGAGAGAUAACCUCUAAAUACAGCAUGAGGGCCAAGGCUGGACAACUCAGCUCUACAUGGGUACAUGUUCGAAUGCAUGUGACCCAUCCGACCAGACACUUUAUCAAACUGUGUAUAAUAAAACAGUACUUAUCUCAGGAGGGAGGGGGGUUAGAGAGAGUCUCUGCAGUGGAAUAUUACAAAUUAUGACUUAGCACCGUCUUGUGCAAAUAGGAAAAGGUAUCCUAGUGGUGCUAUGGCUGGUGCAAUGCAACAAUCAUGGUUUCCUUUCUUUGAUAUCUGUCAAUAGCCAAGUGUAUGUGUGAAAGAUGGUGCCAGGAGAUUAUUGGCAGAGUGAAGGGGUGCUUGCUAUCAGCAUUUAUCCAUCACUGUCUGGCACAGCCCUGAGACGCUGAGGGCCAGAUAUAACAGUCAGAGUGGCAGGGAGUUGCUAGGAGACUGCUUGAACGAUUUCUGGACAAAUGUAUGAAACAGUUUUGUGGUAUUGGGAACGGCAUGUAGGGUAGAAUUUAGCAGCCCCCGCCUGCCCUUUAGAGAUCACACAAGGAUUAAGCAGUUACUAAGUGUGCCUUCAUGGUUCUAAUCUGCACAGUCCUGUACCUUUCUUUAGAUUAAAGGCCUGCUGCUGUAAUAUUGGUAACGAUGCAGGGUGAAAAAUUAAAUAAAUCUGAAAAAAAAAAAAAAAAACCCACAUGAAAUAAAAAAAUAAGAGCCCAGGUUUAAUAGAAUCUGUACAAAUAAAACCCUUGGCAUUAAGUAUAGCAGGACUGAAACACUAAAAUAUAGGAGGAUUUUUUCCUUAUAAAUUAAAUAAUAAAAGUUCUAACCCUGCAGAAACUUUAACGCUAUAAAGUGAAGAUUCGCACAAGCCCGUGUGCGUUUUACCUCUACAACUUAAAACGCUGUAGCCCCUAUCUACAAUUGAGACACAAACUUUUAAGGAGAAUUUUCGGACAAAAAAAAUAAAAAUAACUUUUCACAAAUUGUCCAGGAUCUGAAUCUGUGUUAUAAAAUGGAUGUGUUGUUUAGAAUAAUAUUUGAAAAAGGGGCAAUGCUGUUCGGACUUAGAACGGAACACAUUGUACAAGAGACCAAAAGGGUGAAAAAAAUGAAAAUGGGUGAGAAAAUAAUAAAACAAGGUUUUUGUUUUACCAACAAAUUCUUGGUAAUAGUUGGGUGUAUUUGUGGGUACAUUGAGUUGUGACCACUUUGCUGCCAUGAGAUAAUAGCUUUAGGUCCUACUGGCAGAGAAGAGGUCAACAGAAACCCGUCUCUUGCAGGUUCGAAUUCACAGGUAGUAACUGCAGUGCAGGGACAGGAAUAGAAAGGUACUUUUAGCAGAGAGCUUUCCUCUAGUCCUUGCUUAUUUAUGUUUUUACAGACUGCGGGCAGACCAGUGCAACUUUGUACAAUGAUGGGGUUCUCCUGUCGAUGUAAUAAAAUAAAGGAUUAAUCUGUAGCACAGCACAAGAAACCCUUAUGUGCUGGCGGAGCGCGUUGGUUCUUUGUAACCAUGUCUCUGGCUUCAAUUGCACACAGUGAGUGUAUGGGUAUUAGCACCUCUAGUGGAUGAGGUGUUCUCGAAGAGUAAGAAUCUGUUGUAGUGUCCGAAACUGCCCCCAUCUCCCUCCAAACCUGCUCCCUCCCAAGGCUAGGGAAGAAAGUGUCAUGCAGGGGGUGCCAGGCUGAUUUGAGGAGUCUUCUUUACAGAUGAAGGAAAGUAUGUGGCUAGUCUUAUAUAGAGGAGUCUUGCAACCUCUGGGGACCCGUUGUAUGGAGCCUGACUCUCUAAAAGAGAGCUGGAGGGGGGGGAAGGAGUCCAUGUCACCUCAAAGUUACAAUUGCUUGUCCCCUUCUUUCUUCAGCCGACU